rnacentral:rRNA from 1 species
UACAGAGGGUGCGAGCGUUACUCGGGAUUACUGGGCGUAAAGCGCACGUAGGUGGCGACGUAAGUCGGGUGUGAAAGCCCCGGGCUCAACCUGGGAAUUGCAUUCGAGACUGCAUUGCUGGAGUACGGAAGAGGAGGGCGGAAUUCCCGGUGUAGCGGUGAAAUGCGUAGAUAUCGGGAGGAACAUCAGUGGCGAAGGCGGCCCUCUGGUCCAGUACUGACACUCAAGUGCGAAAGCGUGGGGAGCAAACAGG